rnacentral:lncRNA from 1 species
AGAUGUAUGAAUCAGACAGUCCUGGUCGUCUACGUAUCUUUAUCUACUGAGAGUUUUGUGGGUUUUUUUGUUUAUUUUUUUGAGACAGAAUCUCACUCUGUAGUCACCCAGGCUGGAAUGCAGUGGUGCGAUCUUGGCUCACUGCAACCUCCACCUCCCAGAUGCAAGCGAUUCUUGUGCCUCAGCCUCCCGAGUAGCUGGGAUUAAAGGCAUGCGCCACCACGCCCAGGAGACAGCUUCCCAAGGCUGGAAAGAGGGGAGUGCGGAACAUGCCUCCACCAUACCACUGCCCACCUCCUGUGACCUCUGCAGCAAAACCUGAAGCCCCAAAGAGGCAGCUUCUCAAAGUAAAAGUGGAAUGAAGAGUCGGGGUUUCACCAUGUUGCCCGGCCUGGUCUCGAACUCCUGGCCUCAAGUCUCUCUGGCUCAGCCUUCCAAAGUGCCAGGAUAACAGGCGUGAACCACGACACCCAGCUUGCUUUGUGUACUUCUAGGGGCUCAGGUGAACCACAUGAGUUCCUGGAUGUGCUUCCAUGUUUCACAGUGAAUUCAUGUUUUUGGUCCAAUCAUGACCAUUUAGACUGUUUAAGAAGGCUGUGUACCAGCUUUAAUAUUGUAUUUUAUGAUAUUAGUGAUCCCUGAAUUUUAUUUGAAAAAAUAUUAUUUUACUGAGUGAUUUAGUAGGCUUGAUCAUUUUCCUUGCAGCUUUCAUAUUUUGUGACACACUGAUUUAAGAAUCAAGUCUAUAUCUGAAUGUGAAAAAUCUGCAAUGAGGAUAGCAAACAAUUAUAUUGUUUUAAUAGAAAAAUUAUUUGAUAAUUUCCAUGUAUUGAUGAUUUCAGUAGAAUCUAUUCUGCAUUUAACCAACAAUCAGUAGUUCCCAAGCUAUUCCGUAGUUUUAGCUUUAACACAUAGUACAUGCUUAAUAAACAUUAGCUGAAUGAAUGAAUGAAUGAAUGACUAAAGACUUUCAGGACCUGGAAGGGAGGAUGUAAAGAACCCAGGGCCAAGUGUCAUGCAAGCACUGGAGCAUCUAGAUCCCCUCCGGACACCAGCUUCCUUUCCCACAACCCAAAUGUUCUUUUCCUUUUAUGAAUUUUCUUUAAUCGUGACAAAAUAUAUAUAAUAUAAAAUGUAUCAUUUUAACUGUU